rnacentral:rRNA from 1 species
CAGUCGCCGCGGUAAAACAGAGGGUGCAAGCGUUAAUCGGAUUUACUGGGCGUAAAGCGUGCGUAGGCGGUGAGUUAAGUCUGCUGUGAAAUCCCCGGGCUCAACCUGGGAAUGGCAGUGGAUACUGGCUCGCUAGAGUGUGUCAGAGGAUGGUGGAAUUCCCGGUGUAGCGGUGAAAUGCGUAGAGAUCGGGAGGAACAUCAGUGGCGAAGGCGGCCAUCUGGGACAACACUGACGCUGAGGCACGAAAGCGUGGGGAGCAAACAGGAUUAGAUACCCCGGUAGUCCCUGUCUCUUAUAC